AACUCGCAGUUAUUUUUUCCAAAAAUUCACAUCAUGAAAGGUAUAACAUUCCUCAGACAACAAGAUUAUAUGUACGUUCUUAGAAUGUUGAAGAAUAUCGUUUUCGUAUGAAGUCAUCUUCUGAAUAACGCUCUAAAUUCAGCUCAAGUUCAAGUGCGUUUGUGACAUUGUAUGCAUGGCAUUGUAUAUAAACUUAUGUGACACCAAGAUGCAUAAAAGCUUUAUCCUGAUCAUAUGAUUGCCGGCAUAAACUUUAUUGCUUUCUCUUGAUUUUUCAAUUUGUGAUGACGUGUAUAUAGAUAUUGUUAACGAGAGUUUCUCAUUAAGAUAUUUUAUUCAGUAUUCGUGUUUGUAAGUGAAAAAAUUGUCUAGUUUUCCUUGCCAGGCUGCAUCGUCGAUAAGUUUGUUAUAAGUUUAAUUUAAAGGAAAAUUUGUCGUUUCCACCAUGCAUCAAAAUAGAAAACAGUUAUAAAUGAUUGUUGUACUUCUUGUAAGAUAAUUUUUAAUGAGUUAAAGUUUGAUUAAAUGCACAGUUGCUUCAAUUGUUUUGAAAGAUGAAAAA